rnacentral:rRNA from 1 species
GACGAACGCUGGCGGCGUGCUUAACACAUGCAAGUCGAACGGAAAGGCCCUGCUUUUGUGGGGUGCUCGAGUGGCGAACGGGUGAGUAACACGUGAGUAACCUGCCCUUGACUUUGGGAUAACUUCAGGAAACUGGGGCUAAUACCGGAUAGGAGCUCCUGCUCCAGGGUGGGGGUUGGAAAGUUUCGGCGGUUGGGGAUGGACUCGCGGCUUAUCAGCUUGUUGGUGGGGUAGUGGCUUACCAAGGCUUUGACGGGUAGCCGGCCUGAGAGGGUGACCGGCCACCUUGGGACUGAGAUACGGCCCAGACUCCUACGGGAGGCAGCAGUGGGGAAUAUUGCACAAUGGGCGCAAGCCUGAUGCAGCAACGCCGCGUGCGGGAUGACGGCCUUCGGGUUGUAAACCGCUUUCGCCUGUGACGAAGCGUGAGUGACGGUAAUGGGUAAAGAAGCACCGGCUAACUACGUG